AUGAACUAAUCAUUUGAUUCAGGUCUGCUGACCCAGGGUGAGAUCUAAAACUUGCAGGACAAGUCCCUCGAGGCCAUAAUGCAUCCUGGUGCCUUGUGAUCACCAGGUAAGUGACGUACAUGCAUCCGAGUGUAACCCAGAGUAAAAUCUGUUUUACUAGAUUUGAGUAAUUUCCUGCACUUAUUUCCUGCCAUUGAACACAUCACAAAUACAUGACUCCAACCACAUGACUUUGCUCAGCCAAUCGGAUGGCUGUUGCAGGUUUGUAUUGGCAAACACUUGCUUUUCCCGUUUUAAUGCAUUUUUUUAACACCAACUAACUUAUGCGACUUAGACGCUGAUUACCGUGAGCCAGAGCCAUAGUGUUGUCGUGCACUGAACAGAACGGAAUUGGCCAGGUGAACCUUUUUGGGUAUGGAAAAGGAUGGCGAGCCAAUGAACGGCUAGGAGCAGGAAUCCUUCUGCAUUGAAGCUUCCACUGGUUGGCCUGGGAAACUGUGUGAUGUCCAUCUGAGAAACCUCAGUGGGCCCCUAAAGUCUGACCUUGCAGUGUAAGACCACCACGUGCUGGGGGUCAGAGUUCAACCAGUUCUCCAUGGCCUUGCAUAUGGCACAGAUCUU